GUCUGACACGGCCCCACGGUGUCCAGUUUGGGCCCAACAUUCGGCCGUGGCGCGAUGAC
rfam:Haematobacter massiliensis strain CCTG 47968 contig10_scaffold9, whole genome shotgun sequence.